rnacentral:rRNA from 1 species
AGAAAUCGUUAAGGGCGUAUGGCGGAUGCCUAGGCUUUCAGAGGCGAAGAAGGACGUGGUAAGCUGCGAAAAGCUACGGGGAUUGGCACACACGAAAUGAUCCGUAGAUAUCCGAAUGGGGCAACCCAGUAAGUUGAAGACUUACUACACCGUAAGGUGAGCGAACCCGGAGAACUGAAACAUCUAAGUACCCGGAGGAAAAGAAAUCGAAGAGAUUCCGUAAGUAGUGGCGAGCGAAAGCGGAUUAGCCCAAAAGUUUAUAUAUGUUUAGUGGAAUGUUUUGGAAAGAACAAUCAUAGAAGGUGAAAAUCCUGUACACGAAAGGUAUAUAU